rnacentral:rRNA from 1 species
CCAUCGGGUAAUGCCGGGCACUCUGGAAGGACUGCCAUCGACAAGAUGGAGGAAGGUGGGGAUGACGUCAAGUCAUCAUGGCCCUUAUGUCCAGGGCGACACACGUGCUACAAUGGCCGGCACAACGGGAAGCGAGUUCGCGAGGACGAGCGGAUCCCUCAAAGCCGGUCGCAGUUCGGAUUGAAGUCUGCAACUCGACUUCAUGAAGCUGGAAUCGCUAGUAAUCGCAGAUCAGCCAAGCUGCGGUGAAUACGUUCCCGGGCCUU